rnacentral:rRNA from 1 species
GGGUCAGUAGGUUGGUCGUGCCACCGGUCCGUACUGGUCGCACUGAUUCCUCCAUCCUGAAGAACCGUAAUGCCAUUAAUUUGGUGUUGCGGGGAAACAGGACUGUUACUUUGAAAAAAUUAGAGUGUUUAAAGCAAGCUAACGCUUGAAUACAUUAGCAUGGAAUAAUGAAAUAGGACGAUCGAUCCUAUUUUGUUGGUUUCUAGGAUUGACGUA